UAGGGAAUCUUCGGCAAUGGACGAAAGUCUGACCGAGCAACGCCGCGUGAGUGAAGAAGGUUUUCGGAUCGUAAAACUCUGUUGUUAGAGAAGAACAAGGACGUUAGUAACUGAACGUCCCCUGACGGUAUCUAACCAGAAAGCCACGGCUAACUACGUGCCAGCAGCCGCGGUAAUACGUAGGUGGCAAGCGUUGUCCGGAUUUAUUGGGCGUAAAGCGAGCGCAGGCGGUUUCUUAAGUCUGAUGUGAAAGCCCCCGGCUCAACCGGGGAGGGUCAUUGGAAACUGGGAGACUUGAGUGCAGAAGAGGUGAGUGGAAUUCCAUGUGUAGCGGUGAAAUGCGUAGAUAUAUGGAGGAACACCAGUGGCGAAGGCGGCUCUCUGGUCUGUAGCUGACGCUGAGGCUCGAAAGCGUGGGGAGCAAACAGG
rnacentral:rRNA from 1 species